rnacentral:hammerhead_ribozyme from 1 species
AUCCAGACGACAAGUCCCAAAUUGGGCGAAACGCGCUUCCUGAAU